UUUAUUCAAAACCUUAUGAACAACUCAACAGGCGCCUCGAAAACACACUAAUGAUCAAUACAAAAUCAGUGAGAGAACAGAAACAUCUUGCAAAACGAGAGGGAGCAGGGGGCAUUUUCUAAAACCAAAUUGCAGAAGCAAUUAAUAGCAACAAAGCGUCCACCAUGUAGAGGGGAUAAAGCCUUCUCAUUUAUAUAACCAAAUAAGAAUUAUAGAGCGGGAUAUCAAUAAAUUCAUAGUCCUCACACAAUCUACUACCUUCUAUACUAAAAGACGUCUAUUACAUUACAAUACAACUCAAGAGUUUCGUUGUCCAACAAUACAACUCUAGGAGACUUAAAAUCUUCUUAACAGAUGUGACAAUACACAAUCAAAUAUUGGCAUAAAUCAAGGAAAAUCUCAAAGUGAGAUGAUACAAAUUGAAUAAUGUGGAAGAUUACAUUAAUGACAUAGCCUAUCUUUGAACAUAAUACUUGUAGCAAUUACCACCAGCCGAUUACCUUAACAUAUACCAUGCAAUUGAAAUGAACAUUGGCUACAUUGGCUUAACCCAACUUCAGGCAUAAAUCGGGGAAAAUCUUGAAGUGAGAUGAUACAAAUUGAAUAAUGUGGAAGAUUACAUUGAUGAUAUAUCCUAUCUCUGAACAUAAUACUUGUAACAAUUACCACCAGCCGAUUACCUUAAAAUACACCCUGCAAUUUAAACGAACAUUGGCUACAUAGGCUUUAA
rnacentral:lncRNA from 1 species